rnacentral:rRNA from 1 species
UAUAAAAAUUAUGUGUAUGAUAGACUACGACACACACACAGUUUGGCC